rnacentral:rRNA from 1 species
GACAGAGGUGCCGAGCGUUAGGCGGAAUCACUGGGCUUAAAGCGUGUGUAGGCGGGUCGUUAAGUGUCUUGUGAAAUCCCACCGCUCAACGGUGGAACCGCUGGGCAUACUGGCGAUCUUGAGCAGUUCAGGGGCGAGCGGAACAAGCGGUGGAGCGGUGAAAUGCGUAGAUAUCGCUUGGAACGCCGACGGUGAAAACAGCUCGCUGGGGACUCGCUGACGCUGAGACACGAAAGCCAGGGGAGCGAACGGG